rnacentral:tRNA from 1 species
AGUUUUAAUAGUUUAAAGAAAACUUUGGUCUUGUAAACCAAGAAUGAAUUUGUAUUCUUAAAACUUC